rnacentral:rRNA from 1 species
AAGAACCUUACCUACUCUUGACAUCCAGAGAACUUAGCAGAGAUGCUUUGGUGCCUUCGGGAACUCUGAGACAGGUGCUGCAUGGCUGUCGUCAGCUCGUGUUGUGAAAUGUUGGGUUAAGUCCCGCAACGAGCGCAACCCUUAUCCUUUGUUGCCAGCGGUUCGGCCGGGAACUCAAAGGAGACUGCCAGUGAUAAACUGGAGGAAGGUGGGGAUGACGUCAAGUCAUCAUGGCCCUUACGAGUAGGGCUACACACGUGCUACAAUGGCAUAUACAAAGAGAAGCGACCUCGCGAGAGCAAGCGGACCUCAUAAAGUAUGUCGUAGUCCGGAUCGGAGUCUGCAACUCGACUCCGUGAAGUCGGAAUCGCUAGUAAUCGUGGAUCAGAAUGCCACGGUGAAUACGUUCCCGGGUCUUGUACAC